GUUAACUUGUAAUUCUAGCUU
ensembl:piRNA 21ur-5003 ncRNA